GCAUUUGACCUCAAAUC
rnacentral:rRNA from 1 species